rnacentral:lncRNA from 1 species
CACGUUUGGCAGCAAGCCUUAAUCUGUUCUCAGAUACGAUUGAAAGAUAUGUCUAGCGCUCACUUCCGGUGCCGGUUAAGUGUUUCCUGGAGACGAGCUGCGGCUGUUUUGAAAAGAACAUGAAGCACGACUCUGACUCUGAUCUCGACGAAAGAAUCGAAACAUUGAAGCAGAAGUAUGCUCAGAGGCGCAACCAGGCUCCAGACGCGUCUGCUGAUGGACACACGCCAGACCACCGCACGGCUCUCAGAGAGCGCUACAGGACGCGUUCUGACCUGCCACAGAGGUCAGGGGUCAGGGGUCAGGGGUCAUCUGCUGUAGUUAAGCUGGCUUGAGAAAGAUCU